UGAUGCAUAGCCGAGUUGAGAGACUGAUCGGCCACAUUGGGACUGAGACACGGCCCAAACUCCUACGGGAGGGCAGCAGUAGGGAAUCUUCCACAAUGGACGCAAGUCUGAUGGAGCAACGCCGCGUGAGUGAAGAGGGGUUUCGGCUCGUAAAGCUCUGUUGUUGGUGAAGAAGGACAGGGGUAGUAACUGACCUUUGUUUGACGGUAAUCAAUUAGAAAGUCACGGCUAACUACGUGCCAGCAGCCGUGGUAAU
rnacentral:rRNA from 1 species